rnacentral:rRNA from 1 species
CCUACGGGGGGCAGCAGUGGGGAAUAUUGGACAAUGGGCGAAAGCCUGAUCCAGCCAUGCCGCGUGUGUGAAGAAGGCCUUCGGGUUGUAAAGCACUUUCAGUGGGGAAGAAAGCCUUGGGGCUAAUACCCUCGAGGAAGGACAUCACCCACAGAAGAAGCACCGGCUAACUCCGUGCCAGCAGCCGCGGUAAUACGGAGGGUGCGAGCGUUAAUCGGAAUUACUGGGCGUAAAGCGCGCGUAGGCGGUCUGAUAAGCCGGUUGUGAAAGCCCCGGGCUCAACCUGGGAACGGCAUCCGGAACGGUCAGGCUAGAGUGCAGGAGAGGAAGGUAGAAUUCCCGGUGUAGCGGUGAAAUGCGUAGAGAUCGGGAGGAAUACCAGUGGCGAAGGCGGCCUUCUGGACUGACACUGACGCUGAGGUGCGAAAGCGUGGGUAGCAAACAGGAUUAGAUACCCGUGUAGUC